GUGACGUAAGUGGGCCGGGCCGAGCGAGCAGCCUGGCGAAGCGCGCUUAGUCUCCGCCCGCGGGUUUGAGCCCGAGCUUAGAGCUGGAAGGGACUGGCCGCCUGGCGCCUGGCGGCUUCCAGGAGAUGAGGUCAGUAGGGUCUUUCUCACUUUUAAUUCACCGGAACCUGGAGCUGAAUGCCGGCAGGUCGUUCGCCCACUGACGGACUGGUGAACCUCUCCAGAAUUUUUUAAUACUUUUGAGAACGCUUCUGGUGGUCACCCAGACCUCCCCGGCAAUCCUUGGUGGAGCCGCUGCGGGUCCCUGUGUGGGGGGACAGCCUCUGGACUGGGCUCCUGGUGGCUGAGGCAAGUGGGAAAACACCUCAGCGGAGCUCCUGUAAAAGGUAGUUGUUAGGCAAGGGGCGGUUAUACCCCCCAAAUAAACACUUGAGCGACAUCGAGACAUUUUAGGAAAGGCACUGGGGCCAGCCUUUGAGGUGCGCUCACUCGAGUAGCUGCUCUUCUGAGACCGUCGUAGAGACCCUGAGAAUAGCAUGUGGGACAGCCAUAAAAGGUGAAAGGCGCCUGUGUUUAGGAGGCAAACUCCAGGGUAGACACUAUCCCGUGGCGCUCGGGAUUUACCUUGUCUCACUUCCAGUGUUCUCAUUUGUUAUGAGGAUGUGGCUGGCCUGCGACCUGGUGAUUUCAGAAGUUCUCAGAAUUCACUUAAAAAAAAAAAAAAAGACCAAAGGGGGAUCUUCAGAGAUGUUCAGCGAGGGCCUGGAGGUAUGAUUUUGAUACACUGCAUUACCACAGAGUUCAGUGUUUCUGCUGCCUCAAACAGGAGAAGACCAAGGGAGCAUUUGAACUCACUGGAUCACAAGGUUAAAGCUUAGAGUAGAGCUAUGGGGGUUGGUGAUAAAAUGAGGUACUUCCCAAGAGACUGUUGAUUUAACAAAGCCUGUAAGGAAUUCCACACUGUACUGUGUGAGACCACAGGAAGUAAUUUUUAUUUGUGGAAACUUUACUGUUUGGCCUUUUCCUGUUAAGUCCUAUACCAUUUCUUGUGCUGUUUAAAUUUUCAUUACCCAUAGCCCUGUCCCAUCCUUAAGUCAGUCUUUAUCUCCUGUCAUUUCUCCUGUCCUUGCCCAUAGGUUAACUAAAUUUUUAUAUAGCUGUUUGCAGUGUUUAAGAUGAUAAGGUUAGCAUUUUUGCACGUGAUGACCCAAUCCUUGUAACUAUCACUGUAAAUGAUUGCAUAAUACCUCACUCAUCAAAGAAUUUUAGCUAAAACACAUUAUCUUGGUUUUACAGAUGAAGGAAAGAUUCAAACCAGGUGUUGGAUACCUGGUUCACCACAGAGAAAAUGUAUCUUAACUUUAGUUAUUACAGCAUAUUCAAGAUGGAGCAAAUAAAUAUUUUAAAAAAUCAGAACAAAUUUUGCUAAUAUAUUUUGAUCUUGCAUAAGAAGGCCUAAGCAUGACAAAAGUUCUAGAAAUUUCAAAAGAUAGGAUUAAAUAGUUACAUUUGUUCACUCAACGAGUAUUUUUUUAGUCACUUUGGUAUACUAAGCUCAUUCUAGACACGAGGAGUCUCACCAUUGUCCAAAAUGAGGAUUAGGAAGUUGAGCUAUCCUCACACCAGUCAAAGGAUUGAUACACAGUUAUGACUAAGGGCUGUCCUGGUGGGCCUUUAGAGCCUUCAGAUACUUUAGAACUCUCAGAUAGUUUGAGUGAAGUGGCCAUUGGGACCUGAAGACAGGAGGCAGGUACUGGUGCUCAAAACACAUCAAGCCCCAGAAACAGAGGCUCAGAAAAAGUAAAGAUGAUCCACGGGGAUCUGGGAAGAGCACCAAAGUGUUGAUGGAAGUCAUGUGUUAACAGAAUCCCAUCAUCAUUGUCUUUGCCUGUUCAAGGACAAGCUUAAAUUUUUCUUUAACUUCAUUUCUAUGUAAAUACAAUUCCUUAAGCAGAAAAUUGGUGGGCAUUGUAGUACAUGCCUGUAAUUCCAGCACUUGGGAGGCUGAGGCAGGAGACCAGCCUGUGCUGUAUAGUAAGACCUUGUUUCCAAAACAACCAAACUAACAAAAAAACCGGUGGAUAAGAUUUUUUUUAAAGCAAAAUGGAAAAUAUAGGAAACACCAUGACCCUUAGAAGAAAGUACCACACAGAGUGAGAAGGCAGUGAUUGGGAUGCCAAGGACAAAGGGCCCUGAAGCAGUAACUAGAAUGGCAAAUAAUCAAGAUAGGGGUAAAUAGGAAGAUGGAAUGUAAUGGUGAGGGCAGCCUGGUUUGAAUCACAUAGAGUGCAGGAGUAAAACUCUAGGGUAGAAAGGGGUGGGUAGAUGAUGGGAGUAAAACUGCUCUGGGUGCUCAAAGGGUGAUGACAGGGACAGGCUGACCCUGAGUGAGGAACGCUGGGCAUAGAGAUAGAAGAUUGCAAUGAUAGGGCUUAAGGCUUUGUUGAUGGAGAGGACUGAGAUGAGGCAAAGCCUCGUAAACCAAGAUGCACACUGGGGCUUUAUUUAAGAAAAGGGAAUAUGGAAAUGACACAUCAGGUGUUUAGAACAUCCUUUUUGACUAAUAGAAUGGAUAAGAGCCCUGCCUGUAGCAGGGAACUCACAGAAGACGUUGCAUUGAUAAAGGAUAUGUAGGAGUAGUGAGAACAGAGACUCCAGUAUGUUUCGCAUAAAGAAUGGACAAGUCUUAGGCAAGUUGGGCUUGAGUAAUGACACAGAAGCUAGAAAAAAAUGAUCUUCCAGUUUUUGGUUUGAGUGCCUCAGUAGAAAGUUGAGGGACCCGAGUUGCUCUCUGGAUUGUACACUCCUGAUUGGCUCCUGCAUGCUCUCCAUCUUUACAUCUUUCCUCCAGGUUGUUUCUUCAUCUGCUUUGUUUUUUCUCACUUUUGUAUGUCUCUUAGUCUGUCUCUUGAUCUCUGUCUUUCUCCUCUUCUAGCUUCACAACUUUCUGGUUAAAUUUUCCCAAUUCCUUCUUUCCAGAGCCAAGUCUGAAAGCAGCUGGUCUCUUAGGAAAGGAGACAAGUAGAAUCAGGGCAGAUUCCUCGCGGUUAGUCAAGUGGAUACACAAUGGAAUUCACAGAUUCCUUUCUUGGGGUCACCUUGGAACCUGGGUGAGAUUUCUCCAGGCAGCAGCCCUUCCUACUGGGCACCAGGCCCAGCAUCUGCAGAAAGCUCCAAAGCAGCUUGCUCUAGCCCAGACAGGCCAAACCACACCCACACCAAGUAUGCAUCAAAUGCACCUUCAGUGUGCCCCUUGGGUCAAAUGCUGGGUUGGAAGCACCCAAAGGGCCUCAUAGCCUAAUGAGAAGGUAGAGAAAUAAUCAGAGGGCAGAACAGAAUAGAGCUAGUUUACUUUUCUGACAUUACAGGGAGUCACCAAAGAGGUUGAUGAUAAUAUUUUUCAGAGUCUUCAAUUUUCUAGAUGAGAGCACUUUCCAUCUAGUGGCCACAGAGAAAGUUGCAUCAAGGAACAGUAAGACACAGUGAUACAAGAAGUUUGGAAUCCUGAAGGUCAGAUAAAGUGUAGUGUUUAACCUAGGUGGUCCAUUCAGCCCUGGCCCUGUCAGGUCUAUGAGGACGAAGGUAUUUCCGGAAGUGUGGAGAUCUCCUCGCUGUCUUGACUAGAUCCUAAGGUUCCAGGCACAUGAGGGAAGCUCUUGGACUCUGAACACCAUCAUACCCUCAAGGCCUGUGGUGGAUUAACUAAUGGUCAGCUUGUGACACCCAGUUAAACUGAAUCAGCAUGGCUCUUGGUAUGGAAGGCCUAUCUGAGGAUUACUGCCAAUAACAUAAAAGAUGUGUGUACGUUGCCUGCUAUGUGCAGAUACUGUGGAGACUCGCCAUUGAGUGAGCCCAUCUCUGUCCUCAGAGUUCCAUCAAACACACGUGAGACUCUAUAAUUGAAGAGUGCCCUGAGGAACUUCCUGAGCUGAAAAGUAAAGGAUAAGCAGAAAUUACCUCCUCAGAGAGGCAAAAUCAUCCAAAGGAGAGGGAACAGCAUGUGCAAAGCCACAAGGACAGAGGUGACAGUUUGCCUUUGUUUGGCUUCGAUUAUCCCGGAUGGCUCCGUGCGUUCCUGUGACUGAGUGGCUGCCAGGCAGAGGAGGCACAGCACCAAGCUGGGGGCCCAGCAUUUCACACCAUUCAUGGCUUAGCCCCUCUGAGAUGCUGAACAAGUAAUUUCCUCUCCCCAGGUAUCAGAGACCCAUUUUUUCACUAGAGGACAGGACUUUAGAGGUUCUCAGCCAGGGAGAAAAGUGGACACUCUGUAGACAUCUUAAAAUUAUACACAGCUUUUCUCCUCACGUGAAGGACAAGGGCCACUGAUGGCAGUGUGACACAUGAGUGAGGCAAAUGCCUCUCUCUGGACGUACGGUUUCCAUGGCAGAAGGUCCCAAACAUCUGCCCCAUCAAACUGCCAGGAAGCAUUACUCAUUCAAGCACAUUAUUUCUUAAAAGAGCACAAAGCAAGAAGGACACAUGCUGCCUCCCAUCUUUGGACAGAGAUUUUCAUAUUCGCUUACUGAUGCUGUCAUUUGCCCAGGAAGCUGUCACCAAAAAAUGAUCUGGAUGACUGAACAAAGAUUCUUGCUCACAUGACAGUAAGACAGCCCAAGUUUGGCCGGCCUGAUACUGAGCUUCACUACUACUGAGCAUACUGGAGGAGAAUCAUGUCCCUUUCAGCAGCCUGGUAUUGAAUGCCCUCCCAGAGCCAGGUAUUCCUCUUCUCAGAGGAAAAUAGGGAACUGCCCCUAGCCAAUAAUGACAAGGGACCUGGGCCCCACAGACCGAGGUCUCACCCCAACCAAAGAGAAGCUUCUGGCUGUCUCCAGAGCAGGGAUCAAGACAAGCCAGGGUCAGUUGGGCAUUGCAUCCGGGAUACCAGAUUUUUCCUGUGACUAUUCUGAGUGUGUAGUCCUGGUCCCUCAAGUUCCUUGCCUUCAUUUAUACCCCUUUUUGAUGCCCUCGCUUCUUUGAGCAAGUCUGAGAACUCCCAGAUAUCCUUCCAACCCACUCUGACUCUGCUGGAGCUGUGUCAAGUCAGAUUAGCUUGUUUUGGUUGGUCUUGAACAUGUGCCACAAUACUACCUGGGAAGUAGCCUGGAGAUUUUGCAUAUAUGCAGUGGUACUGCAGUUCAUGAACUUACCCUUUCUACAAUUCUGGCUGCAAACUGAACUGGAUGAGAACUAAGUCAGAUUCAAUGGUAAGGUUCAGUGCUAACCUUAUAGGGAAAUCUGAUUCAGUUCUCAUGCAAUUCAGUUUGUGACCAGAAUCAUGGAAAGAAUUAAGUUUGUGAACUGAGGUAUAUGCAUAUUGGUAUGCCCUCCCUGAGCCAGGUAUUCCUCUUCUCAGAGGAAAAUAGGGAAAAUACAUAUCCAUAUGCAUGUAUAUGUAGUAUUUGUAUGUUUAUCACACACAAGGCAAAUGCCUUAAGAAUCAAAUACAUAUUUGUAGUUAUUCCCCCAAAAGCUUUGUACCACAUUGUUGUACUAUGGUAUAAAAGAUACAAAAAAUCUCAGGAAAAUUCUUUGAUUUUCCUAUCAGUCAAAUUUACCACCAUGUACUCUUUGUGGUAAAAAAAUCUAAUUGUUUUCUUCUUUUCACCCACAUCCUGCUGGAUACCAAAUCCAAGUAUACUUCCUGUUUAUCCCAAGGCCAUCACAACACAGUGCUGAAUCUAAAUCUUGUGAAGUUGGGCCUGAUAUAAAUUUGGUGGCUAACCUCUAUGGAAAUUCCCUUCAGAUGGAUGGCUGACAGAAAGCCAUGAAUUCAGGAGAAUCAUACAGGAAAACAUGUGUUCUAAACAUGAAAACCUUCCUACUUAUAAAAGAUUGUCUUUCCCUUCCAAGAAAGUUGAGAAUACACUGUAGAACUUCAUCUUAGCUUAUGGACUAAAAAGGCAACCAUGGAAAGGAGGGUAUUAUGCGAUCCUUGUACAUAAUAAUGUUUUUUGAAAAUAUGGCAAACUCUUAGUACUCAGAACUCUUAAUAAUAAAACUAUCAUCUCAUGUUCAAAAUGAAACAGAAAUUGAUGAAAAUAGUAUCCUAGGAGAAGACAGAUGACUCAGAAUCACACAACAGGAUGUUAAGCAAUGUCUUCCUGGGUCCCACAGCUUUCUCUUCUAAUAAAAAGUGUGCCCGGAGAUUUCACCUGUAGGAAACCUAUUAACUAUUUCCAUUGACUCUAACUGUUCACACUGUGGUCUACCAGAAAAUUCUGAGCCUCUGAGAUUAGAUGCAUGUUUCAUUCUAUGUAACUUUAACCAGAGCUAUGAUAAUCAAUAGGGAACUACUGUCUCCUCUCACUUCCUGGGUGAAGGUCUGAAUUGGUAGUUAAAUGACCAGUAGGAAGGGGCAAAACACAAAAGCCAACUGAAAAUAUUUGACCCACCAGAAAAAACUAAGCCAGAGCAGUGAAUGACUUGAGCAUUUUUCUUAUCAUUUAUAUUAUUUAAACUAGUGCUUGGAUGAAUGGUAAUUCAGGCAAAUAGAGGAGUCCAGGUCUACCUCAGACACUCCAUCAGUGGUAAAUAAGCUUAAUUUUCAAUUGACUGGAGUCAACUUCCAGAAAAGUGCCUGAGUCACAGGGAUGCUGUACUCCUCAGUGAAUUCAUCCAGAGCUGAGUGUGCUGCUGGAAGGUGGGGCAGUUGGAGGCUGGUCACUUAGAAGCAUGUCUCCCCUAUGCUCAGCUGCCCAGCUGCCACGAGCUAAGUAGCUCUGCUCUGCUCUGCUCUUGUGCUGUGAUGUCUCUGCCUUGGGGAUGGAGGAUUAUGGUCUGAAGUCUCUAAAACCAUGGCCAAAUAAAGCUCUUCUCCUUUAA